rnacentral:lncRNA from 9 species
GACGGGCCGAAGGACUCCGUGGAUUCCGUCCAGAUGGCCUAGCCUAGCCCAUCGGACUCGACCGAAUUCCCUGGUGAGGACGAAGUGAUGAGGACAAAGACAUGCUUCGUUUGGAGUGGAUUGACUUCCCCAGGUAUUCUCCUGCACCCGUGUGUGGUAUGCAGAUCCACUCUGCUCGGCAAAAGCAUCCACUCCCAGGCUGGGCAUCCCCAGGCGGGCGCUUCCAACCCACUCCCACCCAAGAUAUGGGCUCAGGAGAGACUUGGGAUGGAUUUGUCUAUCCAGGUCCUAGCUAUUGUUUCCUACUCUAUCUGCAUGCGUAUGCGUGUGGGUGUGUUUGGAGAGAGAGAGGGAGGGAGGCAGAAUGAGAGAAAGAGGGAGAGAACGAGGGAGAGAAGGAGAGAGGAGGCCUUCACUCCUUUCUGGAUCCAUUCAGCUCAUUCAGUUCAAUGCCUCUUAGUCCUUGUCCAUGGAUUUGGGGACCCCUGCCACACGGAGAUGUGGUCUCGCCAGAGGGGGAUCGCCCAGUGCAGCUCUUGCCCCAGCCACAGCAGGGACCAGGAGAGCCUCUGAAGCUUGGCAGCCGCGUGGGAACUCCCCUGAGAGCUUGCUGGAGGAGACCAAUCCAGCGUCCUGAACGCAUCACACCUGCUUUCAAUCAGGCCUCCAUUGCCUGGCGCCCUGCUGCCAAGAGAGGCUCUUCUCCAAAGGACACAAGGACAUUUCCCUCAGCCUCCUCUGUGUGUGUGUGUGUGUGUGUGUGUGUGUGUGUGUGUGUGAGAGAGAGAGAGAGAGAGAGAGAGAGAGAGAGAGAGAGAGAGGGAGGGAAACAGGCGGAUGAGCCCAGCUACCAACACUCUUGCCCCCGAAGCCCCCCAUGGAUUCCUCAGCACCACACUCCUUCUCACCUACCUGAAGCCCUGAUGCGGAGGGCUUGACCAGGGCCAGCUGGCGGCCCAAUCCUGAGGCUGUGUGUGACUGGGCACCUGCCUCGAAGGAACCCCAAGCACGCCAAAGCCCAGGACCUGUUUCAAGCCUUCCAAACCCACUGCCACCCAACCAGGCGGCCAACCCACCUCCAAAUCCGGAAGGCACACCUCCGCCCUGCGCCUGACAGGAGGGGUCUCGGAGGAGACAGUCCCUGGUGCCCAGGAAACCCCUGCACAUCCUCGGAGUGCCUGCUGUGGGUGCGUCCCGCUCAAGCCUCCAUCCGCCCCCGCCCCCGACCUGGAGCCUGCGCCUUUGGAGCCUUGCCACUCCCACCUCUUCGAGCCUCAGAGCUGCACCUGGGGCCGGGAGGGGCCCUGGCGCCCUCGUGUGGACAUAGGCUCGAACAGCCCCUCUCAGGCUGGCCUUCUCUCUCGGGCUCAGCAGUCCCCGGGGCUGCUUGGGCUGGGGCCCAGACGAGGCUGGGGGCUCCAUCCCCCGCCAAGAAGGGCCCUUCCACCUGGGCUCUAGCUCCCUCUCUCAAAGGCGUUCUUCGUGCCGAUGCCCACCUAGGCCAUGCCUCGCCCUGGAAAUCCUGAGCUCCCAAUCCAUCAGGGUGUGCCAGCCUGCUACCGGGUGGAUAGAGCCUGGCCCAUAUGGAGUUAGGAAGACAGGUGUGGAAGGAUGGAACGAGUCGUUUUCCCCCUUCAUCAUGCCCCUGGGAUUCCACACUCCUUGCCAUGAGGUCUUGCCUCGAUUCUUUCCUUCUGGCUUGGUUCAUCUGGCCAGGUCUCGCUUUCUCCCUUUGUUUCCAAACGUUCUUGACCCCACCUGGAGUGUGCCUGCUCUGGAUCCCCAUUGGUGCUUCCCAAGGCACAGAGUCUCCCAACCACACAAAACCGACCCAAUCAGCCCUUCUCCCCAGGGGCCGGAAGGAAGCUCAGGCAGAGCUUUGGUGGAUCCGUCAAGAGAGCGGCCUGCAUAGGCCCGGCCUGGCUCGAGCUCCCAUCAUCUCACCAGGUGCGUAGAAAGAAGAGCCGAGCCUCCCUGGGAAAGACGAAGGGAGGUUCCUGAGCCCUCUUGAGACACAAGGCCCAGCACCUGGCACCGCUGCUCUCCCAAUUCGCUCUCCCUUUGGGCACCACCCGGGGAAGCCUCACAGCCCCUGGAUGCGCAUCCCAAAACCCAGCUCACCCUGGGCUUCCACACGGAUCAGCUCCAGCACGGAACCCAGGCACGAGAACAGAAACCCACCCGCCCAGGCCACAGGUGGGGAGGGGGCCUGAAGAAACACUGCCAAAUCCACAUAGCCAGCCGGCAGCCAGCACCAGACAAAGGAACACCAUCACGCAUGCCUAGAGAAGUCCAAACCCCAACCAGCUCGACAGGCCUCCUCAGCCCUGUCCCCAUGGCCAUCCUGAGGACGCCUUUCCAUGACAACCCCUGGGCAGGCUGUGCAAAAGAAGGGGCCCUCCCACCGGCUGGGCGUGGACGUCCGUUGGUUCAACCGCGAUGGACCACAGGAUCCAGGGCCUCCCCAAAAGAACCCUGGAACCAC